rnacentral:lncRNA from 1 species
GGCGCGGCACUGAUUAAUGGCUCCCCCUUGGCGUGGUGCUGAGAUCUGCAACUAUCGGGUAUAUUUCCCACUCGGUUGUCAUUGGUUGCAUGAUUCGUUGCUGCAGCUACCGACGCAGUUAUCGUGCCACCAUUAUCAUGCCGGCAGAGUAGCCAUAGGCGUGUCUGACGAUUCGCUGUAUCCUGGCACCAUUCCCGAAGCAUUUAUGCAACUAGGCAGGGCUAUUCUCAGUCGGUGAUCAGUUGGACGUGAUUUUAUUUACUACAAGUUUUACGAUCUUGGCCACAUUCAGGUCCGGAUCCCGUCAUCCCACCCGUUGCCAACGUGCUCUUUCUUUCGCAACACUUCGUGAUCGGCGUCGGUACGCUAUUAAACUCUUGUUGGCGGGUCACUUCCGGAUGCCCAGCCUUUAUCUACAAUAACCCAGGAUUCAGAUCUAAGGGUUGACCGUCUCCCUUGCAAAGGAAAACACCUAGAACCCAGAACCUUUCAACGGUCUCACGUUCGUCUCAAGGGUAACCUCACUUUCCGUGAUUGGUUGCAAUGUCGAGCUGGGAAUAGUCGUGGCGUAGCAUUAAAGGUGUGGAAGUGGUCUAUCCUUCUGAAAAGCAACGCAGCAUGGAGUUGAGCAAUUGCAUGAUAGGCUGCGUACCCCCUUGAAGUGAUAGUAGUACAUUUAUGCAGUGUGUGAUGAGCACUGACGUUUGGAGGUGACAGUGCCUUGACCCUACAUGGGUUACAUCCUCUUCUCUCAUUGGUGGAGGAUCAUUGGUGGUGACAUUGCGGCAAGUUCACAGUGCUUUAUGCUCAAAGUCACAGUCCAACUUGGAAAAAUCGUAUUUGAAUGUGCUGCUAUUACCCCCCCCCCUAUUUUAUUUUUUAUUUUUUAAAAUUUAUUUUUCUCUCCCGUACCAAAAACACAAUGCGCAAGGACCCCAAAGUUAUCAGGUAUAACAUCAACCGACUUUAAGCCUACUUUCAACAUUCAGACAGUCCUUUCGGUAAUUCUAGAAGUAAAUUCUUUCUCUUCUUUACUACUAGUUCAAUUAUUUUUUUUUGUUCUGUGAAGUUUGCUUGGGAUUGGUUCUUCUGAGAAAAGCUUUUGUCAUUGCGAUGGUUGUAACUAUCCUUUUGGUAAGAAUUAUUUGCUCAUUUAUUCUCUCAAAGUAAUUGGUAGAUGAUUGGAUUACCUUGACUUUUUCCUUCGCACAUUGAUGUGCUUCUUCACAGUCACACUGCAAACCUUCAUCUCAACAACAUUAAAAGUUACAUAGAAAAUGCUGUAAACUAUUCUUCUUGACAAAAUCGUAUAGAAUCUUGCUUAAGAUUACCACUAAAUUCUAGAUUACCAC